rnacentral:rRNA from 1 species
CUACGGGGGGCUGCAGUCGAGGAUCUUUUGCAAUGGGCGCAAGCCUGACAAUGCGACGCCGCGUGAGCGAUGAAGGUCUUCGGAUUGUAAAGCUCUGUUGCAGGGGAUGAAAGAUAAUUUGGUAAAUAGCCAGAUUGUUUGACAGUACCCUGAGAGGAAGCCACGGCUAACUCCGUGCCAGCAGCCGCGGUAAUACGGAGGUGGCAAGCGUUGUUCGGAUUGAUUGGGUGUAAAGGGCAUGUAGGCGUCUUGGUAAGUCGAAUGUGAAAUCCCGUAGCUCAACUACGGAACUGCAUUUGAAACUGCCGGGAUUGAGUACGGAAGGGGAGAACGGAAUUCCCGGUGUAAGAGUGAAAUCUGUAGAUAUCGGGAGGAACACCAGUAGCGAAGGCGAUUCUCUGGUCCGAUACUGACGCUGAAAUGCGAAAGCUAGGGGAGCAAACAGGAUUAGAUACCCGCGUAGUC